rnacentral:rRNA from 1 species
UACGGAGGGAGCGAGCGUUAAUCGGAAUUACUGGGCGUAAAGCGCAUGCAGGCGGUUCAUUAAGUCAGAUGUGAAAGCCCCGGGCUCAACCUGGGAAAGUCAUUUGAAACUGGUGAACUAGAGUCUUGUAGAGGGGGGUAGAAUUUCAGGUGUAGCGGUGAAAUGCGUAGAGAUCUGAAGGAAUACCAGUGGCGAAGGCGGCCCCCUGGACAAAGACUGACGCUCAGAUGCGAAAGCGUGGGGAGCAAACGGG